UUGGCCUCCACCAGCUCUGCCAGCUGCUUUGUCCGAGGGUCCAACCUCAAGGACUCCUGCUGUGCCAAAGAGGUCUCCUGCCCACACUGCACCCACCCACAGACAGUCAACUCCCCUGACCAUACCCCAUCUUGCAAAUGCCUACAAUCAAGUCCCCAUGACCAUAUAGUGGGCAAUAGAGCCACUGAAGAGGAAACUUGUGUUAUGCUGUGCUGUCCCAUCAGCUAUCCGUUCAAUGCCUGGAGCAGGCAUCACAUCAUGCAGCGCUACCAGGCAGGAGCAAAGCACACAAGGUGUGCUUGCUUGGCUGCGGCAAUGCUCUAUGCAAAGGUGUUUCAUCACUUGGGGCACACGCAACACACUCCCUCACCGCCCAACCAUCCGUUAUUCGAGCGUAACCUGCUACCUGAGGUAUGCCGUAGAUGUCAAAUUCCUAGUUUAAAUAGGCACGAGGCAGCCUCCCAGUGCCGCAUGACACCCAUCCACAACCGCCCUCUUGAGUACUAAACGUGCAUGGGGCCCCACCUUUGCCAGUCUGUGGAAGGCAGUGGCGGCAUUGACGCUGGUGAAGACAUGUCCAUGCUCCUCCACCAGGCGCAACACAUCUUCAGCAUUGGAUGUUGCAGCAAUGGUGCGGUUUAGCUGGACCGCUGCCCUAAAGUCCUCAUCGUCCCGCCAGUCAGCCGA
rnacentral:lncRNA from 1 species